rnacentral:rRNA from 1 species
UACGGAGGGUGCAAACGUUGCUCGGAAUCAUUGGGCGUAAAGCGCACGUAGGCGGCCUGAUAAGUCGGGUGUGAAAGCCCUGGGCUCAACCCAGGAAGUGCACUCGAAACUGUCAGGCUUGAAUAUGGAAGAGGGUCGCGGAAUUCCCGGUGUAGAGGUGAAAUGCGUAGAUAUCUGGAGGAACACCGGUGGCGAAGGCGGCAUCCUGGACCAUUACUGACGCUGAGUGAGCGAAAGCCAGGGGAGCAAACGGG